AACGAACGCUGGCGGCAGGCUUAACACAUGCAAGUCGAGCGCCCCGCAAGGGGAGCGGCAGACGGGUGAGUAACGCGUGGGAACGUACCUUUUGGUUCGGAACAACUCCGGGAAACUGGAGCUAAUACCGGAUAAGCCCUAACGGGGAAAGAUUUAUCGCCGAAAGAUCGGUCCGCGUCUGAUUAGCUAGUUGGUGAGGUAACGGCUCACCAAGGCGACGAUCAGUAGCUGGUCUGAGAGGAUGAUCAGCCACACUGGGACUGAGACACGGCCCAGACUCCUACGGGAGGCAGCAGUGGGGAAUAUUGGACAAUGGGCGCAAGCCUGAUCCAGCCAUGCCGCGUGAGUGAUGAAGGCCUUAGGGUUGUAAAGCUCUUUUGUCCGGGAAGAUAAUGACUGUACCGGAAGAAUAAGCCCCGGCUAACUUCGUG
rnacentral:rRNA from 1 species